rnacentral:lncRNA from 1 species
AGCCUGAUGUCAUCUCACAGCUCACUGAGGCUCUGUUCAUUUUAUUUUUAAGGCUUUUAUUUUUCUUACUUUAUUAUGGAUAGUUUCUAUCACUAUGUUUACUCUCAUUGUUCAACUUUCUUCCACUGUAUGCAAUCUGCUGUUAAUCCCAUCCAAUGGAAUUUUAACAUCAGAUAAUGUAUUUUUUAUCUCUAGAAGUUUCAUUUCCAUCUUCAUAUUUUUCUCCUCAUCAGGUCUGUGUUUUCCCCUACCUUUUUUUUCUUUUUUUUAAAAAAGAUUUUAUUUAUUUAUUCAUGAGAGUCAGAGAGAGGCAGAGACAUAGGCAGAGGGAGAAGCAGGCUCUUCACAGGGAGCCCAAUGUGGGACUAGGUUCAUCCCCUGAGCUGAAGGCAGAUGCUCAACCGUUGAGCCACCCAGGUGUCACAUACUCUAUCUUAAGCAUAUGGAAUUUAUUUAUAAUAACUGUUUUAGCAUUCUUGCCUACUAAUUCCAUCAUCUCUGUCAUUUUUGCAUCUGGUACCAUGGGUUAAUUUUUCUCCUGGUAUGGAUUCUAUUUUCCUGCUUUUAAAAUACCCAAUAAUAUUUUAUUGGAUGUACAACACUGAAUUUUACAUUGCUGGGUUUUGGAAUUUGUUGUUUUCCCUUAAAGAAUGUUGUACUCUGUUCUAGCAUGUUUUUAUUUAGGCAAAGUUUGAUCCCUUCAAGCUUGCUUUUAAAUUUGUUAGUGUAGGUCAGGAGUAGCCUUUAGGGUAGAGCUAAUACACCCCUACUACUAAGGCAGUAUCUUCUGAGGAGUACUUAAAUUCCUGCUUAUUGUGAAGUCUUUCCAUUCACAGAGAGCCUUGUGUGAGCUCUAGGAAUUAUUCAGCCUACUGCUUUGUGCAGAUUCUUUCCCUGGCCCCAAGUGGCUUCUUCUGACAUAUGCAGAAAUCUAAACUUAGCCAAAGACUUGAGGGGAUCCCUUUUCAGUUUCUCUCUUUACAGUCCCUCUUCUCUGGGUCUCUGUCCCACAAAUACAAGCCACCUAGGUCGUCCCUAUCUCUAUCUCCUCUACCCAGUGAGACCAUUGGGCGCUCUCUUUGGUUUCUUCUUCCCUGUACUGCAGCCUGGAAACUACCUCUAGGCAGUUAGCUGGGGCAAGUGUGAGACUCAUUUCAUUUGUUUCUCUUCUCUCAGGGAUCUUGGUCUUGGGCUGCCUGUUGUUCAGUGUCUGGUUUUCUAGUUGGUUAAGGUAAGAGUAUAAAUCUAAUCCUGUUAUUUCUUCAUGGCCAGAAGCAGAAGUCCACUCUGCCAUAUUUCAAAAACAUUACAAACAAUCCAGAUAAUAAAGUAUAUCUAGUUCAGUAAUUAAAUUUCCUUAAACCUGGCUAAAAAUAGCUAGGUUUUGCUUCUACCUAAGCUACACAUAGUCUCUGAACUUCAGAAGUCUGUCAUCUGAUACAAUAUCCUGACAAAUUUCAAACUGUCUUUGGAUCUAAGACAUAUUAUAUACACGGUAAGAGCAAAGGAACAAGAGGAGUGGGUUUAAAGGUUUAAAAAGGCUUGGCUGACUUGAAAUAAGGCAAAGUUUCUUGGGAAGGUCUUUGGCUAGAUGGGGUUGCAUACAGAUGGGCAUAAGUUUGUGCACCGUGUGUGCUGUGAAUAAAGAAGCAGGCUUCAUUUUAUAGAUGACAGAAGAUAACAUUAAAGUUGUAAAUUUUUUAGAUUUUUAAGGAUAGGAACCUAAAGCAAAUUGAAAUCAUGAAGUCAAUUUUGAAUUACAAUUCAUUUUUCCUAUUAGUUUUCCUUCAAGAAGGUGAAUUCCAUCACAUAUGAAAUUCCAAACUCACAAAACUGAAUAAUCCAUUUAAAGGUUUUGUGGAAGAAACAAAAUGGCUUUUUUAGAUAUCUCAAAGGCCAGGUUUAUUGCACCUUGCAGAGCUAAUACAGGCCUUCCUUCCAUUCAAUACAUUCCAUACAAGGAUACUCCGAGCCUUCAAAGUAUUUACAGAGGUCUAUACACAGCACUUUAUCUUUAUAAUAAUGCUGCAAGAUAGUCAGGGUCAGAAAUAUGGUCUUCAGUUUGCAAACGAGGGCACAAUUUAUCUAGUGCGUGAAAGAGCUAGGCAGUAUCACUCUAGUUUUCUUGACAUCUUCAAAACUCACUAAAAUUUAGCUCCUUUGACUUCAUCUUUUUUAACAUGGCAAGGUACAAACUUCAUUGUGCUCAUGAUGUAUUUGAUACUGGUCAAUCUAACAAGGGACAUCAUAAAGUUUGCUGAAAAGAUGCAUGCAUGUGAAGGUAUGUCACUAUUAGAGAAGUCAGGCAUAUAUGCUGUGAGGGGCAAUAGCUUAGAGCUAUAUAACAUAAACCAUCUUACACUAUAGACUAACCCAGGAUUUUCAUUAAAGCCUUGUCAUCUAAACAAAAGGACAAAGAAGUUCAGAACAUCAAAAUGAGAUUAUUGUCCUAAGCAAGUGAUACUGCUUUGACUAUGCUACUUACAGAGCACAGGACUUUAAUAGUUUUCAAACUACAUUUUAAAAAGCAAUUGUUUUAAAAAAAAUAGAAAAGCAACUGUUUAACUGGAGAAAGAAGCCAUGGCAUUAGGAAGAUAUGUGUUGGCUCAGAAUGGCAACAGCUCCAACAUUACUCACAGUGUUCAGCCACAUUUUCAGAGUUGACACCAUAUCCCUUUUAAGAGCUGAUGGGCCAUUCCUGCCCUGGCACACCAGAUGGACAAGAGCCAUUGUCUGGCACGUGAAGUGAAAUGGAAUAUUCCAAGGUUAUACUAGGCCAAAAGACACUACAAGCUAAGUCAUAUGGUUAUAAAGAUAACACUAAAUAAAGCUCUUUUAAAAUAAACACAAAUAAAAAAUAGUCUGGAUAUUCUUUUCUUUCUUUUUUUAAAAAAACAUUUCUCUGGGUGAAAGAAAGGAGAGGCUGGAAAUACUGAUAAAAGAGAAGAGACUGGCUAAUAGGAAGAGGGAGAAAGGAGAAAGACUAACCAAGGAUAGAUAUACCACAAAGCUCUGGCCUAAGAACAUAAAUAUGUGCUGGUCCAUUUCACUUUGCCAUUAGAUCCAGCUCAGUGACUCUUAUGGAGGAUAAGGAUACCCUGCAGACUUGAGGGAGGAGUCAAAUCAGAGCCUGGCGUGAAGCUGGAGUUUGUACGUAUGUACUCUGAAAAACACAUACAGUUGAUCAGUUAUUCUUAUAUUACAAACCACAGGAAGUAAAGCACAAAAGAAUCCCUGGGCUAAUGUGGACAGGCCAAAGAUGAGUAAGAAAGCAUUUCAGGGUCACAAAGGCCGGGAAACAGUUAUAUAUAAGAAAUUCUAGUACCUAUCUUUUUCAAAAAAUGAUGUGGGAUUGUAUUACUUCCUAUAUGACCUCUUGUGGUUCACUCUUUCUCUUAAUUGCUUCUUCGAUUGGAAUUUGUGAAAGACGCAGUCUGUAGAAGGCAGUAAUGAACAAGCUGAUGUGAGAAAGUAAGCAAGAUAACAGUGGUUCACACUACUUUGGCUAUUUCUAUAUGCAGUCAGCAGGAAAAAAAUCUAAUGCUUCACCUGAAGAGUAGCACUAUUCCUUCCAGUCUCCACACCUGGUCCCUGAAGACAUUAGACAACUACUAACAAAAUACAGAAUAGUUUCAUUAACCAUUUCUCUGUACAUAAAGAUUCUUUAAAAGUCAGUGUGAUCACAGAAGGAGCUCCUCAGUGCUGCAUGGGUGGUGUCAGUGGUCUCAGAAGGUGGUAUACUCCAUGAAAGGUCACCUGAAAAAGGGAAUGUGACAGCCACGUGGGGAAUCGUACCAAGACAGAAAGGAGAUCAGAGCACCAGGGCCUUUAGACUGAGGGACCUUCUGAGUACACAACAGGCAGUCGACAUCCUCUAUAGUGUUUUAUGCUGUUACCACUUUUUAAGAAUAUAUUCACUUUUAAAACUUACAUAAAGUCCAUGCUAUGUCAUUUAUAAACCAGGCACAGGUGUUACUGAUAAUAAAUAUUAAAAUACUUUGAUUUACCAAUAACAAACCUAUUGUAUUAACAAACCACCACAUUAUAGAUAUGGACUAAAUGAAGACAGAAGUCUAAAUUGCAAAAUUAAUUAACCAACAAAGAAAUAGCAUUUAGCUUCAAAAGUGGCAUAUAGUGAGGAUCUAAGAGAAUUACAAGAACCAUAUCAGCUAUUUAAUAAUCUCAUCACUUUUUACAUAUUUUAAGUGAUAGAAAAGACACCUGUGGCAAAUGCCUACCUGGGAGUAACACCUGAAACCUUUCUAUUUGUGUGGAGAGCAAGAGACUACAGAACAGCUGGACAACAAGCACAGGAAAAAUAAGUCUUGUCAUUGGAACUAAACUGCUUAGCAAAGCUUGACACAAUUAUGUCUCUCCUGAUAGAAGCUAUAAAUAAACCCAAAUAAUAAUAGAAUGCUAUGGUCAAAAAAAAAAAAAAAGUGACUCUGGAAGGAAAGAGGACUAAUUUUAAAGAGUGACAAACUUACUACUGGUCCUAAACUGUAAACAAUGAAAGGAAAAAAACCCCACUGGGAGAGAUUAUUUAGGGGACUAUGAAAGACUUUUGACCUGAAAUACACAAUUUUUGCAAAGUUCUUUCCCUAUCUUAAAAAAAAAAAACCUUUUUAUUCUAGAAUGAGAAAAAUUAAUCUUUUAAGCCCCCUUUCACCACUGUAAUCUUUCUAAUCUUUUAACGAUCUUCAUUUAAGAAAUAAUAAAGAAAAAGUUAAUUAAAAACUGGGCAAAAUGUUUUUGACUCUUCAGAAAUACCUCAAGUAAGGAAAAGAAAGUCUUGAAUCACUCCUUGGGUAAACACAUCUGAGUGAAAGACACAUUCCCAUGUGAGGAAAGGAUGGUGUCUGUUUAUGCCAAAAGUCUGCUUCACUUUUCAAUUUAUUUGUGCUUUCAGAGCCUUCCAUUGACAACGACAGAAGAAACAUGUAGCUUUAACAGCUCUGCCCAAUCCCCUAAACAGCAUCAGAUGCCAAAGACCCGAAGAUACUUCAUGGGAUAAAAACACCUCUAAUACAAUUUGCAGUAUUUUAAACUAAGAAAGACACUCAUUAAUUGAUUUUAGUGGAGGAAGAGGGCAGUUUUGGGAGAAGGCAGAAAUUGGUAAGUACUGAUCUACACCACCCAUUUUCUUAUUAGUGCUUCUCUAAACAAAAAAGAGAUCAUUGGUGAUUUCUAAAAAGGAAAACCCCAAAGUGACAUUUUCUGAAAAGUAAAUUGAAGAGAACUUUCAUCAUAAAUUAAUAUAUACAGCAGUUUUAUAAUGAGAUCAACUUCCAAACCAAUAAAUUAGAGGUUAUUGUUGCAGGGACAGCAAGAGACUUUAUAACAGAAAACUUGCAGCAACGGCUAAUCCCCAUGUCUAGAUUUAUAUUAAUUAAGGAGCAAUCCAUAUGCAUAGGGAAACACUAAAUAGAAGCAGGUCAAAGCCAGGGCUAAACAUUGAGGUCAGUGUGUCUAAAUUUACACAAAGAUUAUAAUGAGACAAACUUAACUGACAAAUAUACUCUGCUGAGUCCCAUCAAAUUCGAGUUUGUAGAGCAAAGAGCCUUAAAUGAAAAUUAAAUACUUAUCUUUAAAGGAUAGUUGAUUUAAAAGAAAUUUAAUAAGCAUGUAUUAUUUUUAUGAGAAAAAACUGAAGAUACUUUCAUUUUGAAAAAAAGAAAACCCGAUACCGAGACAUAUUCAAGGAGUACAUCUAGACCCUUUUUUUUUAACCUUUAAGAUAUCCUUGUGCCACCAUGAAAACUAUGAAUAUGCAACAUAGACAGAGUUCCCCAAAUGUAACUCCCAAAGGAGCUUAAAUCAAUGGCUCCUUUGUCUAGUAUGAUAACUGCAACUUUAAAUCACCUUUCCAGAGAAUUAAACAAGCAAAUGAAAACCUCCCCCCGCAACAAGUAACCUUUCACUUAAAAAUUUUCACCAAAUUGGACACAGAUUAUUUUGAACUCAGGUGUGAUGAACUCAAAGCUAUCCACAAUAUUCUGAGUGUGAAUCUACUGAAAGGAUGCAUUUUCUGUAGGAAUGGAACCAUUCUGAAUAAGGCUAAUGUUAAGCUACACCAGCCCUAUCAGCCUCUUGCCUAUAUAAAACUGUAGACAUUCCUCAGGUAGAUGAAUCCUCCUAGAGAGGAGCAGGAGUGGCUGGUGAUCUUAUGUGCCUUUUUCCCCAGUGUAGCAGGGUUAUUUACUAUUCAUGCACUGUAGCUGAGCGAUCUUUUCUAAAGCUCGUCUUAUAAAAAUCUAAUGCUGGUACUCAAAGCUAGAUAAACUAUAAACAUCUCCUCUAGGUCUCCAUUACUCCUAACUUCCCCCUAUGUAUUUGAAUUAGACUGUGUAUGAACAUGUUUCCAUCACUAGAGCCAGUCUAGACAGAAAGUCAGUCACUGGAGUAUGCAUGUGGCCACAAUGCUCUGUAUAAAAGGUUAUGCACCUCACCGGUGCAAGCAGUUGCCCUAUAAGGUACUACCCAUACCUGCUGACAGUCACACAGUUAGAUAGGUUUUUGUAACUUGCCCUCAGCACUUGAAUAUUACAAAAAAAUAUGACUUAUUUGGGGAAAUGCUCUCAGAGGGAUGGCAGCACUGAAUUAGGGGGAAAAUACCCUUCUAUUUUCAAGAAAAGAUAAAUUGGGAUGUUUAUUAUUCAAGCUUUUAAGUGCUUUAUUUGGCAAUAGGUUUCUCCAUAGGAUAUUCUUAAACAGGAGGUUUUUAAAAUAUAUCUAAAACAUUUUGAUUUAUGAUUUUUUCCCCAGGAACACCAUGAGUUGUGGAAAUAUGCCUAUAGCUUAAAGAACUCCUAUAUUGCUUAUUACACAAAUUCCACACCAAUAGAACGUGACCAAAAAUUCAACA